GUGUUGCUUCAGCAGCACAUACCCUAAAAUCAGAAUGAUACAAAGAUUAGCCUGGCCCCAGCACAAAGAUGACAUGCUUAUCUGUGAAACCACAUCCUUGCUU
ensembl:snRNA U6 U6 spliceosomal RNA